rnacentral:rRNA from 2 species
AUGGACGCAAGUCUGAUGGAGCAACGCCGCGUGAGUGAAGAAGGCUUUCGGGUCGUAAAACUCUGUUGUUGGAGAAGAAUGGUCGGCAGAGUAACUGUUGUCGGCGUGACGGUAUCCAACCAGAAAGCCACGGCUAACUACGUGCCAGCAGCCGCGGUAAUACGUAGGUGGCAAGCGUUAUCCGGAUUUAUUGGGCGUAAAGCGAGCGCAGGCGGUUUUUUAAGUCUGAUGUGAAAGCCCUCGGCUUAACCGAGGAAGUGCAUCGGAAACUGGGAAACUUGAGUGCAGAAGAGGACAGUGGAACUCCAUGUGUAGCGGUGAAAUGCGUAGAUAUAUGGAAGAACACCAGUGGCGAAGGCGGCUGUCUGGUCUGUAACUGACGCUGAGGCUCGAAAGCAUGGGUAGCGAACAGGAUUAGAUACCCUGGUAGUCCAUGCCGUAAACGAUGAAUGCUAGGUGUUGGAGGGUUUCCGCCCUUCAGUGCCGCAGCUAACGCAUUAAGCAUUCCGCCUGGGGAGUACGACCGCAAGGUUGAAACUCAAAGGAAUUGACGGGGGCCCGCACAAGCGGUGGAGCAUGUGGUUUAAUUCGAAGCAACGCGAAGAACCUUACCAGGUCUUGACAUCUUUUGAUCACCUGAGAGAUCAGGUUUCCCCUUCGGGG